GACGAACGCUGGCGGCGUGCUUAACACAUGCAAGUCGAACGGAAAGGCCCUGCUUUUGUGGGGUGCUCGAGUGGCGAACGGGUGAGUAACACGUGAGUAACCUGCCCUUGACUUUGGGAUAACUUCAGGAAACUGGGGCUAAUACCGGAUAGGAGCUCCUGCUGCAUGGUGGGGGUUGGAAAGUUUCGGCGGUUGGGGAUGGACUCGCGGCUUAUCAGCUUGUUGGUGGGGUAGUGGCUUACCAAGGCUUUGACGGGUAGCCGGCCUGAGAGGGUGACCGGCCACAGUGGGAAUGAGAUACGGCCCAGACUCCUACGGGAGGCAGCAGUGGGGAAUAGUGCACAAUGGGCGGAAGCCUGAUGCAGCAACGCCGCGUGCGGGAUGGCGGCCUUCGGGUUGUAAACCGCUUUCGCCUGUGACGAAGCGUGAGUGACGGUAAUGGGUAAAGAAGCAACGGCUAACUACGUG
rnacentral:rRNA from 1 species